rnacentral:lncRNA from 1 species
AUGCGUCUUCCAACUUAUGAACUUUUAUCAAAACCAUGCAGCUUCCUCAUCUCGAUCUGUUUUUGGGCCGCAGCCACUUCGACCGGACACGAUUUCUCAUCAUGCAUCUCCUCCGACUUGCAGCAAUACGGCACGUUCAAAAUCGCAAUCCCCUCCGACAGCCCGAACUUCCUCUCGAUCUUCCGCGCCAACCUCCGAGAACCCCGCUUCUACAACACCUCAUCCCCGAAACCCCUCUUCAUCAUCGCCGCGAGGGAAACAUCCCACGUGCAAGGAGCCAUCGUCUGCGCCAGACGGAGCGGCCUCCAAGUCCGCAUCCGCAGCGGAGGCCACGAUUACGAGGGCCUCUCCUCCACCUCGGAAGACCCUUUCAUCCUCAUCGACCUCUCCAAUCUUCGUUCCGUCCGUGUGGACAUCCGAUCCGAAAGUGCCUGGAUCGAUUCCGGAGCAACCGUGGGCGAUCUGUAUUUCCGGAUCUCGGAGAAGAGUAGUGUCUACGCCUUUCCCGCUGGUAGUUGCUCCACGGUCGGUAUCGGAGGACACCUCAGUUGCGGCGGAUUCGGGUUCAUCUUCAGGAAGUACGGCCUGGCAGCCGACAACGUUCUAGACGCGAAGAUCAUCGAUGCGAAUGGAAGACUUUUCACAAGGGCGACUAUGGGAGAAGAUCUCUUCUGGGCCACCCGUGGAGGUGGCGGUGCCAGCUUCGGAGUCAUCGUCUCCUGGAAGGUGAGGCUAGUUCCCGUACCGGGAAUCGUCACAAGGUUCUCCGUUGCGUACACCUUGGAGGAAGGUGGUGCACGGCUCUUGCACAAGUGGCAGAGCGUUGCUUACAGGCUCCAUGAAGACCUCCACCUGCGCGUUGGGUUGUCGGUUAUAGACAGUGCUGGACUCAGUCCAUUGGGAGGCAAUAAAACCGUGCUGGUCUCAUUCGAGGCUUUGUAUCUCGGGUCGGCGGAUCAGCUCUUGUGGCUCCUCCGAGGGAGCUUCCCCGAAUUGAACGCAUCCCGUGAAAAUUGUACGGAAAUGACUUGGAUCCAAUCCGCGGUCGACCUCGCCGAAAUCGGAGUCCCGUUCGAUGGCCCCCCGAGUGUGCUGCUGAAUCGGACAACGCAACAGACGACGCCUUCCAAAAUGAAAUCCGAUUACGUGAUGGCGGGUCGGCCGAUACCGGAGGCUGGAUUCGGAGGGCUUUUCAGGCUGAUGGUAGAGCAAUCCGCUUUCGCUGUUUUGACUCCGUACGGCGGUAAAAUGGCCAGGAUCCCGAAAUCGAGUAUCCCGUUUCCGCACAGAGGUGGGGUCAACUACGAAAUUCGGUACGGUGUGUUUUGGAAGGAUCUUGGCGAGACAGAGGAGAAGUUGAAUUAUAUGAGGAGGAUCUACGAUGAUAUGGAGGGUUUUGUGUCCAGAGGCCCCAGAUCGGCGUACUUGUGCACCAGGGAUAUUGAUUUGGGCGAAACGAGAGAGGUGGCAUCGCGGAUUAUGAUAAAGCGUCCGUUUGGGGGCUGA